UUUUUUUUUUUUUUUAAAGAAUUUAUGUCUUUAUUCAUGAGACACACAGAGAUGCAGGCAGAGGGAGAAGCAGGCUCCAUGCAGGGAGCCCGACGCGGGACUCGAUCCCGGGACCCCGGAUCAUGCCCUGGGCUGAAGGCAGACGCUCAACCGCUGAGCCACCCAGGGAUUCCUGUAUUCAUUUAUUUUCAUUCUUUAAUUUACUAAAAUUCUAGAAGAAUAUCCAAUGAACACACUGGUAGUUGCAUCCUGUAAGUCUUGGUAUAUAAUGUUUUAAUUAUAAUUUUGUACAUAGUGCUUUAAUUAUUAUUUGUCUGAUGGGUUUUUAAAAAUAAGAUUGAUUUUCAGUUCACAGGAUAUCUCUUCCAUCGAUUCCAUCGAUUCAUUUCACUACAUGUGCCAACUUUAUUGGCUUCAUUGUGCAGGUAAAUCCUUACUUUGACAGCUUGAUCCAUGAAGUGAACUACAGUGGGCUACUACUAUUUUAUGUCUGAUUGUUUUUCCUUGUAAUUCUGCAGUUCUUCUGUAUGUAUUUUGGUUAUUAUAUUAUUCAGUGCUUUAAGAUUUAUGAGUGGUAUAGCCUCUCUUGAAAUCCUUUACUAUCAUAAAAUUUCCCUAUUUGUCCUGUUUUUACAAUUUCUGCUUUAAAUUCAGUCUGUCUGAUUAAUAUCAUAACCCCUGUUUUCUUCUUGUUAGCAUUUCCCUGGCAUGUUUUUCCCCACUUUUUUCUUUCUGAUUUUUUUAGUCAUCUUGCAUUUGUGUACAUCUGAACUGUGUAGGUCCAUUUAUACAGAUUUUUAAAAAAUAAAAACAAUAGAGUACUGUAAACGUAUUUUCUCUUUCUUAAGGCUUUCUCAAGAUUUUCUUUCUUCUAGCUUCCUUUAUUGAAGGAAUACAGGAUAUAGUACAUUAUUUGUUCAUAACAUACAGAAUAUGUAUUAAUUAACUGUGUAUGUUAUCAGCAAGGCUUCUGGUCAACAGUCGGCUAUUAGUAGUUAGGUUUUGGGGAGUCAAAGUCAUAUGCAGAUUUUCAACUGCACGGAGUUUGGUAUCUCUAACCUCUGCAUUGUUUAAGUCAACUGUAUACCCACCCCUCACUUUACAAAAUUUCAAUUUAUAAUUUUUCAAUUUCGCAAAGAUUUCAAAUAGAAAUGAACAUUAAUGUUAAUGAUACACAUAUUGUUAGGUACUACGGAUAUUGUGAUUACAUGUUGACGGUGAGUUUAAUAUUUAAUAUUUAUUAAGUAUUUAGUUGGCAACAGGCAUUGUUCUUGGCAGGCACUUUACAUGAUUUCAUUUUGUCCCCACAAGUGACCAGGAUUUCCAUUUGCAGAUAUGGAAAUCAAGGUCUUCUAAUUUGCCCCAAGUCAGAGAGCUCUCAGAGACUAUUUGGGCAAGAGUAUUUAUUUAUUUGUAGGCUUUGGAGAGGGAAUGCUUUAUAAUCUUGUUUCCAGUCUCCUUCCACCACCUCUAAGCCUGUCUCCCAUGUGCAUAAAUCAUUCUGGCUACACCCAAGAAAUCAGGUUUGUCCUACAGUCCAUACUCCAUUCCAUGAUUUGUAUUCGAAGUGCUGUUUUAUAACUAUUACCCAGUGGGAUCCGGCAAUGUUUUGUAUAAAUAUACUCAGUGCCCACCUACAACCAAACACUGGCUGUUCCAUAAAUAUUUGAGGAAAUGAAAUUCUAAGUAGUGUCAUGACCACACUUUUCCAAAUAUUUAAAUUUCACCUUUUCUCUCAUCAGAUUUCUCCUCUGAGUUUGAGUGCAGAUGCAAAAUGUUAGAUUUCUUUGUAUUUAAAACUAAGGUAGAAAAUUUGAAUUACAGUGGAUUUAAAUUCAAUUUAAAUUCAAUUCAAAUUGGUCAUGGAAAAAUGCCCAAUAUUUAACAGAGAUUUCGAGUCUCAAUAAUAGUAAGCAUUAGCUUUACUUAUAGAUUUUAUUUAAUAUAUUUCAGUAUUACAAAAAAAAAGAGAGAGAGAGAGAGAAGGUAUAUAAAACUGAAUUCAAGGUUUAAGUCCUUAGAAAAACUGGUAGCGCAAGUGAUGUAGUUCUUAGACUUCCCAGCAGGGGCCAGAAUGUUCAUAUUAAAUCUAAUUAAUGAAACUUUUUCCUCUAAUUAAAGGUGGUAUCUAAUUUUUAAACCAAUACCCAAAAGAAGUCAACUAGAACUUUCUAUGGUUAAAAUUACUAAAAACUACUGACUUACUAAUUUGAAAUUUCAAGAAUGUAAGUAUAUAAUUCAAAAUAUUGAAAAUGAGUUUAACAGAAAUAGUGACAUCCUCUAACAAAAGGCUGACCCCCAGUAUCUGAGCAAAUGAACAUUCAAAGUAUGUUUAGUUAGUAGACACUAAAACUCCUAUACUAAUUGCCAAAUACAGGUCAUUGGGUCUUUCA
rnacentral:lncRNA from 1 species